CUUACCCUAUGUGGGAUGCAUGAUUCAGAAGCCAAGCCCAUCUUGCUAUGCUCUUCCAACGAUAACUCUGUCCACCUCUAUGAUUUGCCGUCAUUUUCGAAGAGGGGUAAAAUUUAUGCUAAACAAGAGGUUCGUGCAAUUCAGAUGGGUCCUGUUGGCGUGUUUUUUACUGGUGAUGGAGCCGGUCAAGUGAAAGUGUGGCAAUGGUUACCAGAACCAGCGGCUAUCGCGCAAUGAGUGGCACUUUUAUUUUUUCUACCGAUUGUAUUGAUUAGUUUAGUUCACCACCUUUUUUCUGUUUAUUUUGUAACUGGUGAGUUUGAGUUGGGAAGGAAAAGUUGAAAAUGCCACUUUGGGUUUAUUGUUGUAUUUGGUGUGUUCUCUUUAGUAGCACCGAAGCUGUUGUCUCCUUUCCCUGUGCCAUAAUUAUAAAGACAAGGCUUCUUGGCCCAAUUCAGGCUAUUUUCUGUUUAGUAGCACCGAAGCUAUUGUCUCCUUGUCCUGUAUCGUAAUUAUAAAGACAGGCUUCUUGGUCUAA